rnacentral:rRNA from 1 species
UACGGGGGGAGCAAGCGUUGUUCGGAUUUACUGGGCGUAAAGGGCGCGUAGGCGGUCAGCACAAGUCAGUUGUGAAAUCUCCGGGCUUAACUCGGAAAGGUCAACUGAUACUGUGCGACUAGAGUGCGGCAGAGGGGGAUGGAAUUCCGCGUGUAGCAGUGAAAUGCGUAGAUAUGCGGAGGAACACCGAUGGCGAAGGCAAUCCCCUGGGCCUGCACUGACGCUCAUGCACGAAAGCGUGGGGAGCAAACAGG